UACGAAGGGGGCUAGCGUUGUUCGGAAUCACUGGGCGUAAAGCGCUCGUAGGCGGAUCUUUAAGUCAGGGGUGAAAUCCCGAGGCUCAACCUCGGAACUGCCUUUGAUACUGGGGAUCUCGAGUCCGGGAGAGGUGAGUGGAACUGCGAGUGUAGAGGUGAAAUUCGUAGAUAUCGCAAGAACACCAGUGGCGAAGGCGGCUCACUGGCCCGGUACUGACGCUGAGGAGCGAAAGCGUGGGGAGCAAACAGGG
rnacentral:rRNA from 1 species